AUCUCACUAUCCCUCUUACUCUCGUUCCUCUCUUCACGUUCCCUCUUACUCUCAUUCUCUCUUCCUCUUCGUCUCAUUGCUCUCUUCACGUUCUCACUCUCAUUCCUCUCACGUGGCUCUUCGUCUCAUUCCUCUCUUCACGUUCCCUCUCACGCAGUGGCUCCGCUGCCUCUUUCCUCUCACGCAGUGGCUCCGCUGCCUCUUCCUCGAAAUCUCUGAAGUCUAACCAAAGAUCUUUUCAUUCGCACCCUGUUCGCCAUUGGUGUUGUUGUUCUCUCCUCUGAUACAAAAGAUUAAAACUUUGAUCAUGGGAAACAGCUGCAGAAAACCAGUGGCUCAUGUGUCUUCCACAAGUUUCUUUGGUCAGUUUUAAUUUGGUUGUUUUAAUCGUGUGUGUGUGUUUGCCCUCAUUUUUCUUUAGUGCAAAAUAUAAAUAAGCCUUGAUUUGUUUUUCUUCUGCUUUGAUGCUUUGAAUUUUGAUAUUUGUUUGUCAUGGUGGAUGGUUCCAUUUUUGUGUCUUUGGUUUACACGGAGAGAAGAAGAAGAAGGCGAUGGUUUCCAAAGGGUUCUAAAUAAUGUUAAUGAUUUUCGCCUUUUAUUUCUUCUUAGAAGAAUCGAGACGAUGUUGGCUACAAUCAACUCCUCAAGUUUUGGUGUGAGCUGUCACCACAAGCUCGGUUGGAGCUCUUGAGGAUAGACAAACAAACCCUUUUUGAGCAUGCACGAAAAAACAUGUACUGCUCCAGGUGCAAUGGGUUACUUCUUGAAGGAUUUCUGCAGAUUGUUACAUAUGGGAAAUCUUUGCAACAAGAGGGAGCAGUCGUUCAUUUUCCUUGUAGCAGAGCUGGAGGUUUGAAAAAUCAAAAUAACGGUGGAUCAUCCAUCUGUAAUGUGGUCCAGGAUGACAUCCAAGAUCCAAGUGUCCAUCCUUGGGGUGGUUUGACCACAACGCGUGAGGGUGCACUAACACUUCUGGAUUGCUACUUGUAUUCAAAGUCUCUGAAAGGACUGCAAAUUGACUCUCAAAGUCUCGAAGUAAGACAAAAGAGAACUCAAAAUCUACUCGAAGUAACUUGCAUUUCAUUUAUAUUUCUGCAGAAGGUGUUCAACCUCUAUGAUCAACAUUGCAGUUGCUGUUGCAAGAGGAUUAACAUUUUUACAUACCCUGGAUAGAAAUGUUAUAUAUCGUGAUUUAAAGGCAGCCAACAUCCUACUGAUUCGAUAUUUAACACUGAAAGUUUGGCUUGUGAAUUUGUGAAGAAAACAACACCUGUUAAGUAGAAACUGACUACACUUAAAUAGUGUAUGUACAUUAAUGUAAUAUUUGGAUUUAAUAUAUAGUUUCAUGUAUAAAUGAUGUAUUAAAUAUUAGACUAUUUAAUAUUUGAUAUGAA